AAUAAGCGGAGGAAAAGAAACUAACAAGGAUUCCCCUAGUAACGGCGAGUGAAGCGGGAUGAGCUCAAAUUUGUAAUCUGGCGGCCUCUGGUCGUCCGAGUUGUAGUCUGGAGAAGCGUUUUCCGCGUCGGACCGUGUACAAGUCCCUUGGAACAGGGCGUCGUAGAGGGUGAGAAUCCCGUCUUUGACACGGACUGCCGAUGCUUUGUGAUGCGCUCUCGAAGAGUCGAGUUGUUUGGGAAUGCAGCUCAAAACGGGUGGUAAAUUCCAUCUAAAGCUAAAUAUGGGCGAAAGACCGAUAGCGAACAAGUACCGUGAGGGAAAGAUGAAAAGCACUUUGGAAAGAGAGUUAAACAGUACGUGAAAUUGUUGAAAGGGAAACGCUUGAAGUCAGUCGCGUCUCCUGGGACUCAGCCUUGCUUCUGCUUGGUGUACUUCCUGGGACGACGGGCCAGCAUCGAUUUUGAUCGUCGGAGAAAGGCCUUGGGAACGUGGCACCUUUGGGUGUGUUAUAGCCCUUGGUCGUAUGCGACGGUUGGGAUUGAGGACCGCAGCACGCCUUUUUGGCCGGGGUUCGCCCACGUACGUGCUUAGGAUGCUGGCGUAAUGGCUUUAAGCGACCCGUCUUGAAACACGGACCAAGGAGUCUAACAUGCCUGCGAGUGUUUGGGUGGUAAACCCGGACGCGAAAUGAAAGUGAAAAGUUGGGACCUCUGUCGUGGAGGGCACCGACGCCCGGACCAGACCUUCUGUGACGGUUCCGAGGUAGAGCAUGCAUGCUGGGACCCGAAAGAUGGUGAACUAUGCUUGAGUAGGGUGAAGCCAGAGGAAACUCUGGUGGAGGCUCGUAGCGAUUCUGACGUGCAAAUCGAUCGUCGAACUUGAGUAUAGGGGCGAAAGACUAAUCGAACCAUCUAGUAGCUGGUUCCUGCC
rnacentral:rRNA from 1 species